UAAUGAAAAUUUGGAGAGACCAAACGUAGAUAAUCUUGAACCAUCUAAUGAAAAUUUGAGGAAUCAAGAUCAUAUUGAUGAGGAUAUUGGUAAUUUGAAUGGACAAGAUAACGUAACAAAUAAUAGUCCUUUGGGUGAACAUGAUAAUUUAUCAAAUGAGUAUAAUGUUGAAAAUAUAUUGAUUGAUGAACAAAUUACUCCUUAUUUUGAUAUUUAUAACCCUAUAAAUUGGUCUAAUCUUGAUAAUAAAUCAAAAUAUAUUUUGGUUGAAAAGGGACCUAUUAGGGAAUUAAAUAAUGUGUUUCCUUUGGAUAAUAACUCUAGGCAUUUUUCAUAUACUUAUUGAAAACCUACUUGAGAUUUUCAAUGCCACAAGAAAGAUUGAAUGGUUUGGCGAUUUUGUGUAUUGAGAAAGAUAUG